GGCAAAGUGGCCGAGUGGUUAAGGCGCUGUGUUUAGGUUUAUCUGGGUCGGGUAGUAAUAUAUCUGACCUGCAAACUUGAUUCCGCAGUGGGAAACCGCGCGAGUUCGAAUCUCGUCUUUGUCA